GUGUCUGUGUGUGGGGUGUGUGUGCAUGUGCACACGGUGUGGUGUGUGCAGUGUGUGUGUUAUGAGUGACUGCUUCUCUUAGCAUGUGGACAUCAGUCUUCCAGACCAGCUUUCACCAUGUGUCUGGGAACAUAAGAAACAAAUUUCUGCAAUAAUUGUUACACAGCUUUUCCAGUGAGGGACCAAAUCUCUGUCGUGAGUGGGUAUCUGCAUCAUUUCGCAGGAGGGAAUGUGAUGUCCUGGCUUGGCUCACACCCUCUGUGGGUUUAGGCACAGGUUCCUGCUGGAUCCCUCACUGUGGCCAGAGAGGGAGGGCUCUGCUUCACCACAGGGCACCAGAAGAGGACUGGUGCGCGGGAAGACCAGAGAAGUGCAGGUUCACAGCUAAACGGAGCAGAGAGUACAGACUUCUCAUAUGUCCCUUUCCCCACACACAGCCUCCGCACUACAGCUUCCUGCCUCAAAGGAGCACACCUGUAACAACCAGAAACCUACCUUGAUCCUUCGUUAUCACUCAGAGCUUACAGUGCACAUUCACGUUUACUCGUCACGUUGUACGUUCUGAGUCUUGACAAAAGUAUAAUGGCAACAGGAUGUUAUUCACUGCUAACAGGAGAUGAACUAUCAAGCCACAAAAAAAUACAUGGAGGAAACUUAAAUGCAUAUUGCUAAAAUAAGAAGCCAAUCCGAAAAGUCUACGUACUGUUCGAUUCCAAUUAUAUGACGUUCUGGAAACGGUGAAACUAUGGGAUCAGUAGAAAGAUCAGUGGUUGCCAUGGACCAAGGGGAAGGAAGAGAUGGAUACACAGAGCACAGAGAAUCUUCACGGCAGUAAAACCAUUCUGUAUGAUACUAUAAUGGUAGAUAUAUACAUUUGUAAAAAUCUAUCGUAACUUUUAAUCUUUUAAAUUACAUUUUUUUUUUUGAUGGAGUCUUGCUCUGUCGCAAGGCAGGAGUGCAGUGGCAUGAUCUCGGCUUACUGCAACCUCCACCUCCCGGGUUCAAGCGAGUCUCCUGCCUUGGCCUCCCGAGUAGCUGGGACUACAGGUGCCCGCCACUGCGCCUGGCUAAUUUUUGUAUUUUUAGUAGAGACUGCGUUCACCAUCUUGGCCAGGCUGGUCUUGAACUCCUGACCUUGUGAUUCACCUGCCUUGGCCUCCCAAAGUGCUGGGAUUACAGGUGUCAGACACCGCACCUGGCCAUUUUUGUUUUAAGAACUGCAGACAAACUGGGUGCAGUGGCUCAAGCCUGUAAUGGCUGCAUUUUGGGAGGCUGAAGUGGCUGGAUUGCCUGAGCCCCAGAGUUCAAGACCAGGUGGGCAACAUAGUGAGAUCCCGUCUCUACAAAAAAAGUAUUAAGAAAACAUAGCCAGGCAUAGUGCUGCAUGCCUGUAGUCCCAGCUACUCAGGAGGCUGUGGUAGAAAAAUCACUUGACCCAGCAGUUUGAGGCUGCAGUGAGCUAUGAUCAUGCCACUGCACUCUGGCCUAGGCGACAGAGCGAAACCCCAUCUCAAAACAAAGAACAACCAAAAACCUAGAAGCACACCUCAGAGAUAGUGUGGGUUUGGUUCCAGACAACUGCAGUAAAGCAAAUGUUACAAACAAAAACCUACAAGCACACCUCAGAGAUAGUGUGGGUUUUGUUCCAGACCACUUCAAUAAGGCAAAUGUUACAAUCAAGUUAGUUGCAUAAACAUUUUAUUUCCCAGUGCUUAUAAAAGUUAUGCUUAAACUAUAUUGUAGUCUAAUGAGUAUUUAAUAAUUAUUAAUUAGUAAUUAAUAGCAUGUCUAAAAAACUGUGUACAUACCUUAAGUUAAAAUACGUCAGUGCUAAAAAAUGCUAAUGAAUAUCUGAGCCUUACCAAGUCAUAAUCUUUUUGCUGGUGAGAGUCUUGCCUCUAUAUUGAUGACUGCUGGCUAAUCAGUGUGGGGGCUGCUGAAGGUUGGAAGCAUGUGUCAAUUUUUUAAAACAAUGAAGUUUGUUCCUUUCACAGAUUUCCCUGUAGCAUGUGACGCUGUUUGACAGCAUUUUAUCAACAGUAGAACUUCUUUCAAAAUUGGAGUAAACCCUCUCAAACCCUG